AGAGUUUGAUCAUGGCUCAGGAUGAACGCUAGCUACAGGCUUAACACAUGCAAGUCGAGGGGAAACGACAUCGAAAGCUUGCUUUUGAUGGGCGUCGACCGGCGCACGGGUGAGUAACGCGUAUCCAACCUGCCCACCACUUGGGGAUAACCUUGCGAAAGUAAGACUAAUACCCAAUGACGUCUCUAGAAGACAUCUGAAAGAGAUUAAAGAUUUAUCGGUGAUGGAUGGGGAUGCGUCUGAUUAGCUUGUUGGCGGGGUAACGGCCCACCAAGGCGACGAUCAGUAGGGGUUCUGAGAGGACGGUCCCCCANAUUGGAACUGAGACACGGUCCAAACUCCGUACGGGAGCA
rnacentral:rRNA from 1 species